AUUGAACGCUGGCGGCAGGCCUAACACAUGCAAGUCGAACGAGUGGCGGACGGGUGAGUAAUGUCUGGGAAACUGCCUGAUGGAGGGGGAUAACUACUGGAAACGGUAGCUAAUACCGCAUACCAUCAGAUGUGCCCAGAUGGGAUUAGCUAGUUGGUGGGGUAACGGCUCAUCAAGGCGACGCUCCCUAGCUGGUCUGAGAGGGUGACAAGCCACACUGGAACGGAUACACGGUCCAGACUCCUACGGGAGUCAGCAUUGGGGAAGAUUGGACAAGGGGCGCAAGCCGGAUGCAGCCAUGCCGCGUGUAUGAAGAAGGCCUUCGGGUUUUAAAGUACUUUCAGCGGGGAGGCGUUACCCGCAGAAGAAGCACCGGCUAACUCCGUGCCAGCAGCCGCGGUAAUAC
rnacentral:rRNA from 1 species